AGCGAACGCUGACGGCAGGCUUAACACAUGCAAGUCGGGCGGGCAUAGCAAUAUGUCAGCGGCAGACGGGUGAGUAACGCGUGGGAACGUACCUUUUGGUUCGGAACAACUGAAGGAAACUUCAGCUAAUACCGGAUAAGCCCUUACGGGGAAAGAUUUAUCGCCGAAAGAUCGGCCCGCGUCUGAUUAGCUAGUUGGUGAGGUAAUGGCUCACCAAGGCGACGAUCAGUAGCUGGUCUGAGAGGAUGAUCAGCCACAUUGGGACUGAGACACGGCCCAAACUCCUACGGGAGGCAGCAGUGGGGAAUAUUGGACAAUGGGCGCAAGCCUGAUCCAGCCAUGCCGCGUGAGUGAUGAAGGCCCUAGGGUUGUAAAGCUCUUUUGUGCGGGAAGAUAAUGACGGUACCGCAAGAAUAAGCCCCGGCUAACUUCGUG
rnacentral:rRNA from 1 species